GACAGUUUGCCAACACUCUGGUGCUUAGUUCAGUCUUGGAGCUUGUCUCCUGAAGACUGAGAUCUAUACUAAGUUCCUAUUUUGGUGCAAACGAGAACUACUUUCUGCUAAUUACUCACCAAGGUAAUCUUUUCAAUAACUGAUUCUUCGGUUUCGGUUCUCUUGUGAUUACAUUGGUCCAUUUCAAUAGCAGACAU
rfam:Cyberlindnera jadinii strain CBS1600 genome assembly, contig: CJ6